GGAAAAUGUCCGCUCUCUACUCUGUUUUGUGACCCGAGGCUGUCAGAAGAGCCUUUGUUCUUGAUGUUAAAUUUUCUCCUAUUUGUUUGUUAUCACAGGAACCCAACAGACUGUGUUUUCCUAAAAUGUGAGCCUACACUGCAAGAACAAGCCUGUUGUUCUUGUUGUUUCCACUCACACCGCCUGCUUCCCACAGUGUAACAUGCAGAUUCCAGCUCUGUGUGUUUUUCUUGAAGUAAGAACCACAGGUGAAGACCAGUCAGUGUGGCCGUACCUUCCCCUCCAGCUUCUGGAUGAUCUUCUUCCCUCCUUUCAGAGCCAUCUGCUCGGCCUCGUCCAGCCGCCCGCUCAUGUCUUUAAUCUGAGCCUCCAGACCUUUCUUCACCCUCUCCAGGUGGAGCGUGUGCUCCUGCUCCAGACGCAGCUCCUCCCCCACCCGCGCCACCUAAAAGAGUCGGACACCGUUCAUGAAACAAACACUCUCUACAACGAAGGAGUUCAAUCUCUGCUGCUGUCACAUCUCAGCUCACCUCACUGCUGGCCUUCUUGCUCUUAUCCGUGGAUCCUCUCAGCUCUCCCAGCAGCUCCUCGUGCUCCUGCUGCAGAGUCUGCAGGUCCACCUCCAUCUUCCUCCUCCCGCUCAGAGCAGACUGGAACUGCAACACCAAAGAAAGUCGUCAGUUUGGGUCUCUCCUGGUUUUUUGCAGGACUCCAGAGAAAACAGGCUCCUUUUAUCACCUGGUUGUUGAGGUCGCUGUAUUUCUCGUUGGCCUCCUGCAGCUCGGUCUCCAGGCUCUUUCUCGCCCUCUCUGCGCUCUCCAGAGCUGCACGAGUCUCCUCCCCCUCGCUGACCAGCAGGGCGCUGCGUCGCUCCACAGCUGCCUGCUCCUCCCUGCACUCCUCGUGGCUCCUCACCUCCUCCUCCAGCUGAGCCUGCAGCUCCUGAAACAGCAGAGUGUGUAGGUCCGCCUGCAGCUCCAGCUCGUUGAUGUCAGACUCCAGCUUCUUCUUCAGCUUCAGGCCCUCCGCUCGGCCCUUCAGCUCAACAUCAAGACUGGCCUGCACGGACUCCAGCGCCCUCUGGUGGCUUUUCCUGACAGACGAGGAGAGAGACAGAUUUUAAAAGGACUUGCUACCUUUUAAUGUGUGCAUGCCUUUCUGCAGAGAGAGGAAGAGGAGGAUCGCUCAGACAAGCCUUACCUCGAAGAGUUAAUGGACAAUCACUUUGUCAAAUAGAUGAAGGGAAAUAAAGGAGAAGAAGAAAAACAGA